GAUGAAGAACGUAGCGAAAUGCGAUAAGUAGUGUGAAUUGCAGAAUUCAGUGAAUCAUCGAAUCUUUGAACGCACAUUGCGCCCCUUGGUAUUCCAUGGGGCAUGCCUGUUCGAGCGUCAUCUACACCCUCAAGCUCUGCUUGGUGUUGGGCGUCUGUCCCGCCUCUGCGCGCGGACUCACCCCAAAUUCAUUGGCAGCGGUCCUUGCCUCCUCUCGCGCAGCACAUUGCGCUUCUCGAGGUGCGCGGCCCGCGUCCACGAAGCAACAUUACCGUCUUUGACCUCGGAUCAGGUAGGGAUACCCGCUGAACUUAAGCAUAUCAAUAAGCGGAGGA
rnacentral:misc_RNA from 1 species